rnacentral:rRNA from 1 species
UACGUAGGGGCCGAGCGUUGUCCGGAGUUACUGGGCGUAAAGCGUGCGUAGGCGGUUCGUUAAGUUUGUUGUGAAAGCCCCGGGCUCAACCUGGGAAUGGCAAUGGAUACUGGCGAGCUAGAGUGUGUCAGAGGAUGGUGGAAUUCCCGGUGUAGCGGUGAAAUGCGUAGAGAUCGGGAGGAACAUCAGUGGCGAAGGCGGCCAUCUGGGACAACACUGACGCUGAGGCACGAAAGCGUGGGGAGCAAACAGG